rnacentral:misc_RNA from 1 species
GAUGAAGAACGUAGCGAAAUGCGAUACUUGGUGUGAAUUGCAGAAUCCCGUGAACCAUCGAGUCUUUGAACGCAAGUUGCGCCCGAAGCCAUUAGGCCGAGGGCACGCCUGCCUGGGCGUCACACGUCGUUGCCCCCCCCAUCUACUCCUUCGGGAUUGCGGGGGGCGGAUGAUGGCCUCCCGUGCGCCUCGCCGCGCGGUUGGCAUAAAUGCCAAGUCCUCGGCGACGCACGCCACGACAAUCGGUGGUUGCGAAACCUCGGUUGCCCGUCGUGUGCGGUCGUCGCGCAUCGAGGGCUCGAAAAAAUUGCCGAGAUCCGGCUCGGCUUUCAACGCGACCCCAGGUCAGGCGGGGUUACCCGCUGAAUUUAAGCAUAUCAAUAAGCGGAGGA